AUUGAACGCUGGCGGCAUGCUUUACACAUGCAAGUCGAACGGUAACGGGCCUUCUGGUGCCGCCGAGUGGCUAACGUGCGGGUAAUACAUCCGUACGUUCCCGGCCGUGGGGUCUAACGUGACGCCAGCUUUCUUAAUCUCCUACACGAUCUUCGUAUUCACGCCGUGGUCCUCAAUGCCUUGCGCGUACGGGUCUGCUGAUGGCUGAUUAGGUAGUUGGUGGGUUAAAAGCUUACCAAGCCGACGACCUGUAGCUGGUCUGAGAGGAUGAUAAGCCACACUGGGACGGAGACACGGCCAAGACUCCUAAGGGAGGCAACAGUGGGGAAUUUUGGACAAAGGGCGCAAGCCUGAUCCAGCCAGGCCGCGUGCAGGAUGAAGGCCUUCGGGUUGUAAACUGCGUUUGUACGGAACGAAAAGCCUUCUUUUAAUAAAGGAGGGUCAUGACGGUACCGUAAGAAAAAGCACCGGCUAACUACGUG
rnacentral:rRNA from 1 species